rnacentral:rRNA from 1 species
CCUAAACGGCCGCGGCACCAAAACCGUGCAAAGGUAGCACAAUCACUUGUCCCUUAAAUGGGGACCCGUAUGAAAGGCAACACGAGAGAAAGCCUGUCUCCUGAGGCUCGCCAAUGAAAUUGAACUGUCAGUACAAAAGCUGGCAUACAAAAGCAAGACAAAAAGACCCUGCGGAGCUUUAAAGCCCUGUUUAUUAAACUUAAACAAUAUUUUUAGUUGGGACAACUUUAGAAAAAAUUAACCUCUUAAAAAAACUAAGACCAACAAGUCUAAGACAUGAAGCUGACCCGGUCACACUGACUAAUGAAACAAGCUACCCCAGGGAUAACAGCGCCACCUUCUCAAAAAGUUCAUAUUAACAAGAAGAUCUACGACCUCGAUGUUGGAUCAGGGUACCCAGACGGUGCAGCAGCUGUCAAAGGUUCGUUUGUUCAACGACUAACACCC